UGGGGAAUCUUGCGCAAUGGGCGAAAGCCUGACGCAGCGACGCCGCGUGGGUGAUGAAGGCCUUCGGGUUGUAAAGCCCUGUGGAGAGGGACGAAUAAGUUCGACCUAAUACGUCGGGCGAUGACGGUACCUCUUUAGCAAGCACCGGCUAACUCUGUGCCAGCAGCCGCGGUAAGACAGAGGGUGCAAACGUUGUUCGGAAUUACUGGGCGUAAAGCGCGUGUAGGCGGUCGUGCAAGUCGGGUGUGAAAGCCCAGGGCUCAACCCUGGAAGUGCAUUCGAUACUGCAUGGCUAGAGUCCCGGAGAGGAUGGUGGAACUCUCGGUGUAGAGGUGAAAUUCGUAGAUAUCGAGAAGAACACCGGUGGCGAAGGCGGCCAUCUGGACGGUGACUGACGCUGAGACGCGAAAGCGUGGGGAGCAACCA
rnacentral:rRNA from 1 species